UUUAGUGCUUGGAUAAUCGCCUAAAAUGUUACUCAUAAGUUUAUAACACUACCAAAUAAGAAUAGUUCACCUUUUUAGUUUAAAAUAUGGAUUUUCACAUUUUUUUUUUAUUUAUCUCGAGUUUAUCAGUGUUACAGAUAGGGAAGUCUACAUUGGAUCUUUCUCAAAAGAAAAAAGAUGUCGCUUAGCAAAAAAAAAAAGAGUCCACAUUUGAAAACUCGUGUAUUAUUAAUCUUUAAGAAAACAUUUCGAUGUAAUAUAUUUUGCACACAUUUAUUGUUCCUUUCGUGUGGUUGAAUUCUACAAAAUUUUGUUUACUACAAAAAAGUCGCUUAGCAAAAAAAAAAAGAAAAAGAAGUCUACAUUAGAGAUUCGUGUAUAAUUCAUCUCUUAGAAAACAUUUUGAUGUAAUAUAUUUUGCACAGACUUAUUGUUCCUUUUGUGUGGUUGAAUUCUACAAAAUUUUGUUUACUAAAAAAGAAUUUGCUUAGCAAAAAAAAAAGAAAAAGAAAAAAGAGAAAAUUGGAAAAAUGAGACAUUCUCAAUUUGGAUUCGUCUAACUAAUACUUUGUCUAAUAUUUUUGUGCUUCUAGGAUUUUAAUUAAUGUUAAUACGAUUAUGCCCUUAGAUUAAUCAAAAUUUAAAUUUGAUUAAAAAAUAAAAUAAUUGUUAAUUGUUUUGUUAAUACAAUUUUGUCAGUAAAAAAGGAAGUUAAAAAAAAAAAAAAAAAAAGAAGCAAAGCACGGUAAACCUAAAAAUCUUGACUUCCUUCUCUCAUCUUCUUCGCUUCCAGACGAAAGCUUACCUCUUUCAUCCAUGUCUUGAUGCUUGAAGAGAGACAAGCUGGAACAUUUCAAGCGCCCAAGAUCUUUCUACGCUUUGAUUGAACACUUUGUACCUUUUUUCCAAAGUGAAUAACAAUUGUGUAUAUUUGUUUAUUCCAAGAGCCAGGAACAUAUUCCUCUUAUUGUUAACUAAACUGACGAAGUUAAACCAAUAAUGUAAUUUCAUUGAUGUUUUACUAAACACUGUGCAUAAAUAACAAACUUUGUUACAGGCCCCUUACACAUAAGGGAUAGCAAAGAUUGGAAAACUGUUUUUUUUUUUUGUUCAUGAAAUUGAUACAAGAAAAGAAAAUAUGUUAUGCACACAAAAAGAUCAUUGAUCUCUAUGGCGCUGUUUCAGUCCCCAAUGGUACUAUUUGACCACACAUUUCCUAGUCAGCCAAAAAACUCCACUUCUCACAACAAUGAGAUAUUCAUAUUUUGGGAGGAAAAAAAAAACGUGGGAGAGAAGAUACUCUGAAAGAUUUUAGGGUAGAUUUAGAGUAGAAUUAUGAAAGACAGUUUUUGAAAUAUGGAAAUUUAACCGAAUAUGGAAGUUUCCAUAUUUUCACGAUUUGCCUAGAAUAUGUACACUACCUAAGCAGAACACCGUAUAAUGGUGAGAGAUGUAUUCUUCCUGUAGGCGUCAUAUAAGGUAAAAGGCAGAACAAGUUAUGUCACGUAAUAUAACCAACAUAUAUCAUCGAGUUGUGGCUAUAUAUCGUUAUCAAGCUGUAGGUAUACCGAAGACAUCUUUCUUGAUUAUAACGUAACCGAAUCUAUCUUUGCUAGAAUAUACAAGAAAUGAUAGUUUACGGUAUAUACCUAUGAUAUAUCUGUGUUUAAAACUUAGAAUCAGACAUAUAAACUAGGUAGAUUAACAGAAUGAGUAUUCUAACUGUAGCUAGAAGAUAAAAUAAAAUAUGAUUCUAAUUUAUUUUUAAAAAAAAUUAAACAUAUAUAUUGUAAUACUUAUGUUUCCAACACUUUUCAUAUUUUUUUACAUUUUUAAAAUUUAAUUUACUAUUUUUCCCAUUAGAAAAGGGUAAAACAUGUCCAGAAUUGCCAAAAGUAUGAGAAGUCUUAUUUUGACAAACAAAAGUUCAAAGUGUCCCAUUUUUCUAAUUCUCCCAAGAAAAAAAUAUAUUCAUCUUUUAGAAAACAUUUUGAUGUAAUUUUGCACACACUUAUUGUUCCUUUUGUGUGUUUGAAUUCUACAAAAUUUUGUUUUCAAAUUUUGAUUUAUUUUUUGUCAGUUUUGGAGAAAAAGAUCAUUGGUUGUAACGUUGUGUUAUGGAUAUACCGUAUACGGGAAGAGUAAAAACUGAUCAUACAAAACGAUGAAAUAUUAGUAGGUAAAAUGAUACCUGGUUCAUUAAUUUGUUAAAAAAAGGGAAAAUUGCUAAAAGAGAACAAAAAAACAAGCUUGUUGUCCCUUUAGUAUAAAACCAACAUAAAGUUGUCUCAAUAGUAUAAUUUUUCUCAUAAUCCCAAAACUAACCCUAUAUUUAAUCUAAUUAAACACAAUUUAAAAGUUAAUUUGAAUUUAAAAAAAAAAGUUAAUGGAAAAAAGGUAAAAAACAGUUGAACGGCAAUCGAAAAAAAAAGAGGUAUAGAUAUGCAUCAUAGAGAACAAGAGUUUGUGAGAAGAAUCAAAAGAAAAACUAUGGAAAAACCAUAGAUUGAUGAAGAAGAGAAGGAAUAAUCGUUUUUAAAAAAAAAAAUUUAAGUAAAAUCGACCAUAACACGUUUUAGAAAGUUAAAAUAUUUCUAAGAGAUUUUUAGAAUAUUUUCUUAACUGAAAUUUCAUUAAUUUUCGCAAAAAAUCAAGUAUUCUUAUCCGUAGAAGGCGACUUCUAAAAGUUUAGAAGAAUGAUAAAAAUUCUGAAUACACUUUCUACUUUGAGUAGACGUAAGAUUACAUUGUAGAAAACACAUUCCUCGAAAUUUAGAAUACUUUAUAAAAGUAGAAGAUGCAUUCGGAAGGAAAGUGGAUACCUUUACGAUUAGUAGAAUGUGCAUUCCUCUUUUUUAGAAAUUUAGUAAAUAGUAAAAUGAACGUUCUAAAAGAAGUAGAUGAACGUGUUUAUUUUAGAAAUCGUUUUCUACUAUACCAUUUUUCAUAGAAGACGCAUUCUACUUUUAGUAGAACGUAUUUUAAAAAUCUUAUUUACCAAGUUUUUGACCAAAAGAAAAUUACCAGCUUGUGUAUAUGGAUGUUUUAUUAAUUGUUUAUAUUUUUAAUAAUUUUUUUGAUUCAUAAAAUUAUUUAUUUCAUUAGUUUUCAGAAAUACAAAAGGUAAAAAGGAGAAAAACUAGACAAAAUUAGUUUUAUACUAAAGUGACAACAAUCUGAUUUUUUUGUUCUCUUUUGGCAAUUUUCCCAAAAAAUUAUAAGUUAACAGCAACAAUCCCGCUUUUUACAACAAUGUUUUGUCCACCUCUCUAAAUGAUCGAAAAGUUGAUCAUAUUUUAAUGUCAUUGUGCUCUCCGUUGAUUGUUUUCCCUUUUCAUCUCAAUUUAGUCUUGUCUAUUUGCAUAUGUGCUUUUGGUGCUAUAUCUUUAUGUGCAUCUAGCUAAUUCCCAUUGCGAACAAUCAAGUUUCACUGGCACCGAUAAACAUACCCCAAAAAAAUUUAGUUGGUUGGGUCUUGGUCCACCGGACAUUCGGUUAUAAAAAUAAAAAAAACUUCUUCUGGUUGUGGAAAAUGGGACGCUCUUUGUUUGACCAUCGAACUUGAUCUCUCGGUCAUUUUUCAAGAUUGUGUGACAAGUUUGUAUGAGCCCAAUGUCACAACUCAUCUUAUCAUCAUAUCUAAUUUUGAAAAGGCUCCUGCUUGUUCAACCACCUGCUUGCUUCUAUUUUGAUUUGAACGAUCCUUUUCGUUUAGUAAACUAUCGUGCAGUUAUAAAUAGUGUUUCUCGUCUAUGAGUUUUUAUUAAAAGAAAAACAGGUACAAUGAAGAACAAAGACAUAAUAAUUAAACCAUAAGAAGAAACAAAGAUCAGUUCUAACCUUCUAAAGAGACUCCUGUUGAUGAUUAUGAUGUCAUAAUUCAAGAAACAAGUAUGACAUCUUCUAUAAAAGAUGAGUCUUAUCAAAGAAGUUACGAAAUUCGAGUUCAUCCCAGAAUAGAGCAAUCUAGCUAGACAUUCUAUAUAGACAAACAAAAAAAAAACAACGAUCAAAUAGUUUAUAACAUCAUAAACAUUCAAC